UACGUAGGGUGCAAGCGUUGUCCGGAAUUAUUGGGCGUAAAGAGCUCGUAGGCGGUCUGUCGCGUCGGAUGUGAAAAUCCAGGGCUCAACCCUGGACCUGCAUUCGAUACGGGCAGACUAGAGUUCGGCAGGGGAGACUGGAAUUCCUGGUGUAGCGGUGAAAUGCGCAGAUAUCAGGAGGAACACCUAUAGCGAAGGCAGCUUACUGGGCUGUAACUGACGCUGAGGCACGAAAAGUGUGGGGGAUCAAACAGG
rnacentral:rRNA from 1 species